GGAGAUUGAGAAAAUCAAGUUGAUAUGAACCUUGAUUUUAUAGUGAUGAGCGUUAUACAAAUGUUGAAAUGGCUUUGAUGACAUUUUGGGAUUCAUGAAACUCUUAUGUCUUUUGUUUGAGUCUUUGGUUGUCUUGUGGGAUUCAUCAAGGGGGAGAUUGAGAAAUGGUUGUCUGGAGCUUGCAUGAUCCCUUCUCAUAUCAAGUUGCCUUUUGUUUGCUUUUACUUCGCUUUUGGGCACUUGAAUGAGUUCUCUUUUUCUUUCAAAUCAUCUUUUGUCAAUGCACUUAUCAAGGGGAAGAUUGAGAGACCAAGUUGAGAAGUGCCUUGGUCUAUUUGUGAUGAGUG
rnacentral:lncRNA from 1 species